UACGUAGGGUGCGAGCGUUAAUCGGAAUUACUGGGCGUAAAGCGUGCGCAGGCGGUUGUGCAAGACAGAGGUGAAAUCCCCGGGCUUAACCUGGGAACUGCCUUUGUGACUGCACGGCUAGAGUGUGUCAGAGGGGGGUAGAAUUCCACGUGUAGCGGUGAAAUGCGUAGAGAUGUGGAGGAAUACCGAUGGCGAAGGCAGCCCCCUGGGAUAACACUGACGCUCAUGCACGAAAGCGUGGGGAGCAAACAGG
rnacentral:rRNA from 1 species